rnacentral:rRNA from 1 species
GGUUAAGCGACUAAGCGUACACGGUGGAUGCCCUGGCAGUCAGAGGCGAUGAAGGGCGUGCUAAUCUGCGAUAAGCGCCGGUAAGGUGAUAUGAACCGUUAUAACCGGCGAUACCCGAAUGGGGAAACCCAGUGUGAUUCGUCACACUAUCAUUAACUGAAUCCAUAGGUUAAUGAGGCGAACCGGGGGAACUGAAACAUCUAAGUACCCCGAGGAAAAGAAAUCAACCGAGAUUCCCCCAGUAGCGGCGAGCGAACGGGGAGGAGCCCAGAGCCUGAAUCAGCAUGUGUGUUAGUGGAAGCGUCUGGAAAGGCGCGCGAUACAGGGUGACAGCCCCGUACACAAAAGCGCAUGUGCUGUGAGCUCGAUGAGUAGGGCGGGACACGUGGUAUCCUGUCUGAAUAUGGGGGGACCAUCCUCCAAGGCUAAAUACUCCUGACUGACCGAUAGUGAACCAGUACCGUGAGGGAAAGGCGAAAAGAACCCCGGCGAGGGGAGUGAAAAAGAACCUGAAACCGUGUACGUACAAGCAGUGGGAGCACAGGUUUACCUGUGUGACUGCGUACCUUUUGUAUAAUGGGUCAGCGACUUAUAUUCUGUAGCAAGGUUAACCGAAUAGGGGAGCCGGAGGGAAACCGAGUCUUAACCGGGCGUUAAGUUGCAGGGUAUAGACCCGAAACCCGGUGAUCUAGCCAUGGGCAGGUUGAAGGUUGGGUAACACUAACUGGAGGACCGAACCGACUAAUGUUGAAAAAUUAGCGGAUGACCUGUGGCUGGGGGUGAAAGGCCAAUCAAACCGGGAGAUAGCUGGUUCUCCCCGAAAGCUAUUUAGGUAGCGCCUCGUGAAUUCAUCUCCGGGGGUAGAGCACUGUUUCGGCUAGGGGGCCAUCCCGGCUUACCAACCCGAUGCAAACUGCGAAUACCGGAGAAUGUUAUCACGGGAGACACACGGCGGGUGCUAACGUCCGUCGUGAAGAGGGAAACAACCCAGACCGCCAGCUAAGGUCCCAAAGUCAUGGUUAAGUGGGAAACGAUGUGGGAAGGCCCAGACAGCCAGGAUGUUGGCUUAGAAGCAGCCAUCAUUUAAAGAAAGCGUAAUAGCUCACUGGUCGAGUCGGCCUGCGCGGAAGAUGUAACGGGGCUAAACCAUGCACCGAAGCUGCGGCAGCGACGCUUAUGCGUUGUUGGGUAGGGGAGCGUUCUGUAAGCCUGUGAAGGUGUGUCGUGAGGCAUGCUGGAGGUAUCAGAAGUGCGAAUGCUGACAUAAGUAACGAUAAAGCGGGUGAAAAGCCCGCUCGCCGGAAGACCAAGGGUUCCUGUCCAACGUUAAUCGGGGCAGGGUGAGUCGACCCCUAAGGCGAGGCCGAAAGGCGUAGUCGAUGGGAAACGGGUUAAUAUUCCCGUACUUGGUGUUACUGCGAAGGGGGGACGGAGAAGGCUAUGUUGGCCGGGCGACGGUUGUCCCGGUUUAAGCGUGUAGGUGUGUGUUCCAGGUAAAUCCGGUUCACUUUAACACUGAGGCGUGAUGACGAGGCACUACGGUGCUGAAGUAACAAAUGCCCUGCUUCCAGGAAAAGCCUCUAAGCAUCAGGUAACAUCAAAUCGUACCCCAAACCGACACAGGUGGUCAGGUAGAGAAUACCAAGGCGCUUGAGAGAACUCGGGUGAAGGAACUAGGCAAAAUGGUGCCGUAACUUCGGGAGAAGGCACGCUGACACGUAGGUGAAGUGAUUUACUCACGGAGCUGAAGUCAGUCGAAGAUACCAGCUGGCUGCAACUGUUUAUUAAAAACACAGCACUGUGCAAACACGAAAGUGGACGUAUACGGUGUGACGCCUGCCCGGUGCCGGAAGGUUAAUUGAUGGGGUCAGCGCAAGCGAAGCUCCUGAUCGAAGCCCCGGUAAACGGCGGCCGUAACUAUAACGGUCCUAAGGUAGCGAAAUUCCUUGUCGGGUAAGUUCCGACCUGCACGAAUGGCGUAAUGAUGGCCAGGCUGUCUCCACCCGAGACUCAGUGAAAUUGAACUCGCUGUGAAGAUGCAGUGUACCCGCGGCAAGACGGAAAGACCCCGUGAACCUUUACUAUAGCUUGACACUGAACAUUGAGCCUUGAUGUGUAGGAUAGGUGGGAGGCUUUGAAGUGUGGACGCCAGUCUGCAUGGAGCCGACCUUGAAAUACCACCCUUUAAUGUUUGAUGUUCUAACGUGGACCCGUUA